ACCACUUGCCCUCAAAUCCAUGUGUGCUGAACGUCAGUGUGGUCACACCAUCUCUGAGCCCUGUCAGGUGUCCACCCCCAGCUUGGAAACCCAGCUGAGUGGCAGGCUCUGAGACUGAGUCUUGUCCCUUUCUGUAGCUCUUAUAUUUUACUUAUUCUCUGCAGAGCCUGAACACAGGAAGACUACUUUCUGCAGUCCCAUGGUUCUGUGUCCUAUAUUAUAUCCUUUCUUCAGUAGAAGGAGCUGAGAGAGAGGGGGAGACUCCUGGAAGAGCUCUGCGGGAGAACCUAGCCUGCGCUAUACUCAUCUUCUCAGCAGUAUGAUCAUACUCCAUACAGCAUGGAGAAACUGCAGCACAAGCAGCAAGGCGUGAAAUACGUGGGGAUAGCUCAUGGAGCUCAGGCUGCUAAGGAACAACCACAAAAUCUAUGCAGGUCAAACUUCUAGGGAGGAAUGCAGAGCUGCAGCUGGUCUUUCAAAGUUCAUGGCCAAAGCCUAUGUCCAAAGCCCUCUUUUAUAAACAGUAUAUGACAAAGGUUAAAAUGUUCCUCCUCCAAACUUUUGUGCAGUGUAGAUAUUGAAGCAUGCAGACAGCACCCUGUCUAGCUAAUGUAACUCCUGCAAAUUAUUGCUGUGUUCGAGGAAGAGCCAAAGCAGAAGAGAAAGUGUUGUGCUGAUGAUAACCCCUUCAUUAUGCUACAUCAUUUACUGCUUGUAUCCUUUAGGAAGUCUGAACAGGAAACUAAGCCAGCCCUAUUUCUAAGAAGCCCCAAAAAACUGCAAAAUAUAAGCCUUUGUAAUCUGAUGAUAACCAGGAAGCAGCACAUUAAGUUGUUUUAAUCUCAUUCUCUUACAAUGUCAUAUAAAUAACGGAAUGAGAGUCAGCUUUAGGCACAUUAAUAUUUAAUGUACUUUUGAAACCUUCUCGUGUCUCUUGUCCACUGUGCUGCCUUCUCAUUUUCAUUUUUGUUGAUAUGUAGAGACUGCACAGCAUCUCAUGCUGAUUCUAUAUCUGUGUGUUUCCAGUGAAGCUAUUCCUCCUUUUUCCAGCAGUCACUGAUUAAAGUGAGAUCAUAGAUCUGCAUUUAUUUUGCACGGUAGCUUAUGGGUUAAUAAAAUAGAAAUGCUUAAAAACGAUCACUUGCUAGAGCCAGUGCAGCAGAAGAACAGAGAAACGAGGCCAAAUCCAGGAGUCAUACAGCCUCUGAGACAAUUCUCACUAUGGCCAGCUGCAGAUACUUACAAAAAGAUUAACUGAAUGAAGCAAAUACAGAGUUCGUCUAUUUUUGAUAUAUUCUCCAAUUUUCCAACUAGUGCUUCAUGUAUUCACUGAGCAAAAGGUCAUACCCAGACAAUCGUAUUGAGUAGUUACUAGUUAACUUUUCCUUCAUGUUUUUUCUAGUGCCCUUUUAAUCCUUUUAUCUUUCUUGCCUCCACAACAUCCAUGGAAAUGACUUGUGCAUUAAUCAUUAAACAUUAAUCACACACUGUGAUUAAAAAGGAACAUCCUGCUGUUUUUUCUUAAUCUACCACCCAAUAAUUUAGGUAGGCACCCUUAUCUCUAAUCAUAUGAGAAAGAAUGAAUACAUCUCCUUCUACUCACUUUCUCCAUUACUGCUCAUGAAUCAGUGGAUCCUCUCAGGCUUUUCCAAGCUGAAGAGCCUUGUAAUGAAGCCACGUCGUACCACUGAUCAUCUGUGACGCUCUCUGCACUAUAUUUCUUCUGUGAUGAGAGGGCAAGAACUAUAUGCUCUAAGAUGCCAGUGGGCCUGCUUUGGUGUAAUGACAUAACAGUACAUUAAAUCUUGAUGAUUUUAGUGUUGUUCCUUUCCUAAUAACUCCAGAUUUAUCUUUAUACUGCUACUGAUCACUGAACCGAUGCUUUAAGAAAGCUAUUCACAACAAUAUCAAUGUGCGCUUCCUGAACUCAAAAAGCUGAUAAAGAGCCAGCAGUUGGUACGGCUAGCACUGUUUUUCCUCAAAGGCUAAGUGGCUUUGCAUUUUUCUGCACUAAAUUUAAAUCUGUCAUUUUAUCGGACAGUUAGUUCUGUAAUAGGAUUUAAUAAAAAUUUUCCAUAGCUCUCACAGAGUGUUUUGAAGUGUUGACUAUGCUAAAUAAUUCUAUAGCAUGCACAAAGUCUCCCAUCUUCCUGUUCAUGUCGCCUUUUCCAAGCAAUAUGCUGAAAGACCCAGAUCCCAACACAGAUGUCAGUAGGAACCCCCUGAAAGCUCUCCUGGCGGGCUAGCUGCACCAGUGACCUGAACCACUGCGUCAGAUCCAGGCACGCUGCAAUUUAUGUCAGCCAGAGUGAUAUGCCAUCAUUUUACUUAACAGCACUCAAAGGAAAUUACAGACUAGAGUACUCCUAUCACCAGUGGGAGGGAAAGAGGCUGCCUAUCUUCCACUCCCAUGUGGGAAACUGGCACUUCCAUUCAAGAAGAAGAAAAGUGGUUCCAGGCAAGAAGUGAUUAGGCUUUCCAACUUGACAGGGGUUCAGUUGGAGAUUAACUCUCUGUAACUCUUAGAUUAUGAAGUUUUUGCUAGAUCAUGUUCUUGCUAAAAAGAAUGAAGAAAGAGGACACAUGAGAUAUAAGAAGCAGCAUAGAAAUCACAUUCCCAUUGCGUGUUCUGGAGCUCAGUGAUCAACAUUAUGAUUAAAAAAUUCUGGUGUGGAUCGUAUUCAUCCUGCAGCUGACGCGCAUUAAAGUGUCAGGCUCGACGUUGCAAGAAGCACCAGCGUUUCAUACUGUUACACACUACCUUAUUUUAGCCACUGCUAAAGCUACAGUUGUUCUAUUUCAGCAAUACUCUGGAUAUUACAGUCUACAAAUGAACUCCUCAGGCUGAAGAGGUCAAGAGAGCUGUGAAAAUGUUGUUCUUUCUGACUGACGUAUCAGUACAGACUGAGAGAAAAGCCAAAAGGACCUGCAGCAAGCCACACAUUCCUAAUGGUUCCUUGAACUUAGAUAUGAACUGGAAGAGCAGCUACUGGAGAAUUAGCUGAAUUAGUUGAAAAAGCCCGUAGAGUCUCACUUUAAAAUCCAAAUAAUUUGUAAGGAAAUCAAAAACAUCCUUUUGUCAAAGACAUCGGAGAGCUGGAUAUUUCUCUUCUUUGCACAUUGGGCUGAAAAUGAAAUCUUUCUGAGUUUUCACCAGAACACCUAGGGAAUAUCUCUGUUCCUGAAGAAAAGCCUAGAUUGUAGAGGUGAAAGAGACUCAAUGUCAUACUUCACCUGCUUUGGAACAAGGAUUUGAACCUGGGUGUCCCAGGUCCCAGGCAAAGAUUCUUGCUGGGAAUUAAUUUGGCCAGAAUUAAUUCAUUUUCUCAAGAAGUUUAAGUUUUAAUAAAUUGGAAUUUUCCAAAGA